rnacentral:lncRNA from 1 species
GGGGCCAUAUCCGGAACAUGUAUUUUUAAUCACACCAUGACACUUCCGUGUUUACAUUUUUGAUCUAUAACAAAAAUUUACAAACUGUUGCCCUUCAAAAUAGAUAUCCAAAAAGCUUAUAUUUUUGGCCUGUAUCCAUGGAAAUAAACUGGAUAACAUUUACUCUUAGGUUGGAAACUAGAUAACGCAUUUUAGGUAAUAUAGCAGAGAAAAAUGUCAUUUGACAAAUCGCCAAACAUGUACAAAUGUACAUAUCCUUUUUUGGAACAUACAAAUCUUGAAAUAAUUUGUCAAAUAUAUACUCAAUAUAAUUAUAGACCUAAGCAAGGUUUUGAAACUUGGCUGCAGAAAAAAAACAAACAUGAUAUAUAUAUAUGUAGUUUGUACAAACAUAAAUCCUGGAAAUAUAAAUCUAUGAAAACAUGUAAAUUAUGUUAAAACAAACCACAUAUAUAAAAAAAAAUCCUAAUACAAUGUAUAAUUGAUGUCUCUGUUGGAAGAGACCGAAAGUUAGGACAGAAAUAGUUUUGGUUAAAUAGUAAUUACUAUCACAAUAGUAUGGUAUAAACAUAACACAUAUCAGAGUUUUAACUUUUAAAUACAUGUACAUGCAGACAUGAUUUUUGUUUGUCCUAACAGGGUUGACAUAUUUACGGAUCUAUCUCAUGAUGUUGAAAUUGUUAGAAUAUUGUUAUUAUAUAUAGUUUCCAUCACGAGUUAAGUAAACUUGAUCGUGAUUAUGUUUUAGUACGGGUUUUUUUUUUUCUUUUUUCUCUCAGAUGGUAAAGGUAGAUAUAUUUUGGCUUUUCAUGCUUCUCAGUCCCAACUUUUAAUAGUACAAAUUAAAUGACUGCUUCAUGUAGAACUAUACUAUUAGAUUGUUAAAAAAAAUCUUAUUGUGUAAUAGACAAGCAGUCAACUGUCUCAUUUAUCAUGUUUAUAUCAUAUAUAUAUAUAUAUCCAGAAACUACACUUUUUCUUUGAUAUUUAAUUCAAAUAUUACAUGUUACAUGAUUAUACAUAUAAUUUGUCAUUUAUGAAUAUACUGAUUAAUUAACUAAUGACAUGCGAAAACUACUUUUUUAUUGGUACAUCCUAGCAAUACUUUUUGGCUAUAAAAACACUGGCACAUUAAAUGUGUUUGAAUUUUUUUUUUCUUUUAUUUUUUUUAAUAAAUAUAUAAUACCUGAACCACAAAAGGGGUAAAAUUGUAACUAAAUUUACUCUUUUUUAUUUAUUUCUUUUAAUUUUUUCUUUGGUACUUUAAUUUGGAUCUUACUUUAAAAGAGCAGAUAACUCAUAUUGGCAGAAUGCAUUUAGAUUACAAGGCUUCAGGGGUCACACAAACGACCAAAAUUAUUAAGGACAGCACAAGAUAUGAAUCUUGGUGUACAGUAUGCAAAACAU